CAGGACGCUGUGCACUUUGGUCGGGAGAAUCCAAAGGCAGACUAUUAUCUGAAAGAAAAAGACUACAAAAAGUUGCCAUUUGAUUUGAUGAAUUUGGAACAGGGUUAAAAGGCCGAGUCUGAAAAAGACUGUAACAUUAUAGAUGGGAACGUGCAGUAAAGAGUGGAAUUUUGCAAUCAGCGAUGAAGCAACAGUGGCUCACCACGACCUCAAGGACAGCUGCCCAAAAAUAACAAGCAAACUCUGUGUCAUGGAUUUCCCUUUUCAUGACAUUUGUUUGAAUCUGGAACUAAAUCAGGGGGAUUGCCUGGUGCUAAGCAACUGUGAUGCAAUGAAGCAGGGCAAACAACCAAUCACAUUGAAGUAUUCUCAUAGACAACAAACUAGGAGGGAUAUGGUGGAGCAAGAGAUGGAUGAAACAUUCAAAUGUGUAGAUGCAACAACUAACGUGCAAUGGAAAGCUGUAGGAGA